rnacentral:rRNA from 1 species
GAUGAACGCUGGCGGCGUGCCUAACACAUGCAAGUCGAACGAAGCACCUUUUAAGAUUCUUCGGAUGAUUGAUUGGUGACUGAGUGGCGGACGGGUGAGUAACGCGUGGGUAACCUGCCCUGUACAGGGGGAUAACAGUUGGAAACGGCUGCUAAUACCGCAUAAGCGCACGAGAGGACAUCCUCUUGUGUGAAAAACUCCGGUGGUACAGGAUGGGCCCGCGUCUGAUUAGCUGGUUGGUAGGGUAACGGCCUACCGAGGCGACGAUCAGUAGCCGGUCUGAGAGGAUGAACGGCCACAUUGGAACUGAGACACGGUCCAAACUCCUACGGGAGGCAGCAGUGGGGAAUAUUGCACAAUGGGGGAAACCCUGAUGCAGCAACGCCGCGUGAGUGAAGAAGUAUUUCGGUAUGUAAAGCUCUAUCAGCAGGGAAGACAAUGACGGUACCUGACUAAGAAGCUCCGGCUAAAUACGUGCCAGCCGCCGCAGUAA